rnacentral:rRNA from 1 species
CACGUAGGGGCCAAGCGUUGGUCCGGAUUUAUUGGGCGUAAAGAGCUCGUAGGCGGCUUAGUAAGUCGGGUGUGAAACCUCCAGGCUCAACCUGGAGACGCCACCCGAUACUGCUGUGGCUAGAGUCCGGUAGGGGAGCGGUGGAAUUCCUGGUGUAGCGGUGAAAUGCGCAGAUAUCAGGAGGAACACCAGCGGCGAAGGCGGCGCUCUGGGCCGGAACUGACGCUGAGGAGCGAAAGUGUGGGGAGCGAACAGG